AACGCUAGCUACAGGCUUAACACAUGCAAGUCGAGGGGAAACGAUAGAGAAAGCUUGCUUUUUCUAGGCGUCGACCGGCGCACGGGUGAGUAACGCGUAUCCAACCUGCCCACCACUUGGGGAUAACCUUGCGAAAGUAAGACUAAUACCCAAUGACGUCUCUAGAAGACAUCUGAAAGGGAUUAAAGAUUUAUCGGUGAUGGAUGGGGAUGCGUCUGAUUAGCUUGUUGGCGGGGUAACGGCCCACCAAGGCUACGAUCAGUAGGGGUUCUGAGAGGAAGGUCCCCCACAUUGGAACUGAGACACGGUCCAAACUCCUACGGGAGGCAGCAGUGAGGAAUAUUGGUCAAUGGGCGAGAGCCUGAACCAGCCAAGUAGCGUGCAGGAUGACGGCCCUAUGGGUUGUAAACUGCUUUUAUAAGGGAAUAAAGUGAGCCUCGUGAGGCUUUUUGCAUGUACCUUAUGAAUAAGGACCGGCUAAUUCCGUGCCAGCAGCCGCGGUAAUACGGAAGGUCCGGGCGUUAUCCGGAUUUAUUGGGUUUAAAGGGAGCGUAGGCCGGAGAUUAAGCGUGUUGUGAAAUGUAGACGCUCAACGUCUGCACUGCAGCGCGAACUGGUUUCCUUGAGUACGCACAAAGUGGGCGGAAUUCGUGGUGUAGCGGUGAAAUGCUUAGAUAUCACGAAGAACUCCGAUUG
rnacentral:rRNA from 1 species